rnacentral:lncRNA from 1 species
CCUUUUUAUUUCCCUUCGUCGGCGAGAAGAUUUCCACCACCAUUUAUGUUGACGUCGUCGUCUACUGAGUGGUUUUCCAGUAUGCUGAUCUCCUCCAACAUGUUGUCUUCGUCGUCGUUGUCGCGCUCUCUCACCAUCGUUGUCCUUAAAUGAAUCUUUCCAUUUACUCUCAAUCGGUGUUGCUUCACCAUUGAAGGUGAGUAAUUUCUAUUUCUUGUUUUUACCUCUUCCAAUAUCUGGUCUGAUUGAUUGUUUACAUCUAGGGUUAUUUGAGUUUUAUUUCCAUCUUGUGUUGGGUGAAAAUGCAGUUAUGGUAGCAGCUUCAAGUUGAAGCAAAACUGCACAAAUUUUGAUUAUUUGUGUUUUUGUGUGUUCAAUUAUAGGUAGAUCUUCUUUGAUUACAAUCACAUAUGGGUUUGAUGGGUCAAUUCAAUGUUUAUGGGACUGAUGAUCCAUCAACUCAAUGUUUAUGUAAAGUGGAUAUAAAACCU